UACAGAGGGUGCAAGCGUUAAUCGGAUUUACUGGGCGUAAAGGGCUCGUAGGCGGCCAACUAAGUCAGACGUGAAAUCCCUCGGCUUAACCGGGGAACUGCGUCUGAUACUGGAUGGCUUGAGUGUGGGAGAGGAAUGCGGAAUUCCAGGUGUAGCGGUGAAAUGCGUAGAUAUCUGGAGGAACACCGGUGGCGAAGGCGGCAUUCUGGACCAUUACUGACGCUGAGGAGCGAAAGCCAGGGGAGCAAACGGG
rnacentral:rRNA from 1 species